GUAAUGAGCAUUGUUACAUGUAGCACUGGAUCGCAUAAACAUUUGUCGGCCAAUGCUCAUGUGACAAUCCUCUUUGCU
rnacentral:pre_miRNA from 1 species